rnacentral:tRNA from 1 species
GCCAUAGUAGCUCAGUUGGGAGAGCGUUAGACUGAAGAUUUAAUGGUCCCUGGUUCAAUCCGGGGCUUUGGCA